CAGGUGUCCACUAGCUUCUGGAACAUGGCAGAGAAGAAAUGGGCCAGUUUAUUUACGAGAUUUGAUUGGGAGGAUGGUUGCCAACUACACCCUUUCUCCUAUCAGAAGGAUAAGAAACAGGUGUUUCGAAAGUGCCCAUGGCCAUAAGGGAGAAAGAGCACCAGACCAUCUGAAUAACGUGAAAGUGGACACAGGAAACACCAGACACCCAGAGAAAUGGAGUCCAAAUGUGAGUACUUCAU
ensembl:lncRNA GRM5-AS1 GRM5 antisense RNA 1